UACGUAGGGAGCGAGCGUUGUCCGGAAUUACUGGGUGUAAAGGGCGUGUAGGCGGGUAUUUAAGUCAGUUGUGAAACCCUGGGGCUCAACUCCAGGCCUGCAAUUGAAACUGAGUAUCUUGAGUGGUGGAGAGGAAAGCGGAAUUCCUAGUGUAGCGGUGAAAUGCGUAGAUAUUAGGAGGAACACCAGUGGCGAAGGCGGCUUUCUGGACACUAACUGACGCUGAGGCGCGAAAGCGUGGGGAGCAAAC
rnacentral:rRNA from 1 species